GCAAGUCGAGCGAGAAGAUUUUGAUCGAACCUGCGGCUGAGAGAUAAGAUGGAAAGCGGCGGACGGGUGAGUAACGCGUGGGCAACCUGCCCUAUACAAAGGGAUAGCCACUGGAAACGGAGAUUAAUACCUUAUAAGACUACAGAAGCACAUGCUUCAGUAGUCAAAGCUCCGGCGGUAUAGGAUGGGCCCGCGUUUGAUUAGCUAGUUGGUGGGGUAAUGGCUCACCAAGGCGACGAUCAAUAGCCGACCUGAGAGGGUGAUC
rnacentral:rRNA from 1 species